CUUCAACGAGCCCAGCCACAGCGGGUUCUCGGAGUCGCGGCCCUGGCCGUAGGUGGCAAGGAGCGCCUGCGCCUC
rnacentral:antisense_RNA from 2 species